rnacentral:rRNA from 1 species
GAUGAACGCUGGCGGCGUGCCUAACACAUGCAAGUCGAGCGAAGCGGUUUUAAGGAAGUUUUCGGAUGGAAUUAAAACUGACUGAGCGGGCGACGGGUGAAGUAACGCGUGGGUAACCUGCCUCAUACAGGGGGAUAACAGUUAGAAAUGGCUGCUAAUACCGCAUAAGCACACAGCUUCGCAUGGAGCAGUGUGAAAAACUCCGGUGGUAUGAGAUGGACCCGCGUCUGAUUAGCUAGUUGGUAAGGUAACGGCUUACCAAGGCGACGAUCAGUAGCCGGACUGAGAGGUUGAACGGCCACAUUGGGACUGAGAUACGGCCCAG